GUGACCUCGAAUCAGGUAGGGAUACCCGCUGAACUUAAGCAUAUCAGUAAGCGGAGGAAAAGAAACCAACCGGGAUUGCCUCAGUAGCGGCGAGCGAAGCGGCAACAGCUCAGAUUUGAAAUCCGGCCCCAGGCCCGAGUUGUAAUCUGCAGAUGGGCUUCCGGGUUAGGGGCGGCGUCCAAGUUCCCUGGAAUGGGACGCCGUGGAGGGUGAGAGCCCCGUACAGGCGUCCGCCCCGCCCAUUUGAGGCCCAUUCGGAGAGUCGAGUAGCUUGGGAAUGCUGCUCUAAAGGGAGGUAAAUCUCUUCCAAAGCUAAAUACCGGCCAGAGACCGAUAGCGAACAAGUAGCGCGAGCGAAAGAUGAAUAGAACUCUGAAAAGAGAGUUAAACAGCAUGUGAAAUCGUUGAAAGGGAAGCGGCCCCGACCAGACUCGCGCCGGUUGAUCAACCAGGGUUCUCCCUGGGGCACUCUGCCGGCUCGGGCCAGCAUCAGUUCGCCGCGGGGUCAAAGGCCCCGGGAACGUGGCCCUUCGGGGUGUUAUAGCCCGGCGGCGUAAUGCCCCGUGGCGGACUGAGGAUCCGCGCUCUGCAUGGAUGCUGGCGUAAUGGUCGGUACCGACCCGUCUUGAAACACGGACCAAGGAGUUGACCUAGUGUGCGAGUGUACGGGUGUCAAAGCCCUGGCGCGGAAUGAAAGUGAACGUAGGUGGGAGCUUCGGCGCACCACCGACCGAUCCCGAGGUCUUCCGACGGAUUUGAGUAGGAGCACACUGGGUCUGACCCGAAAGAAGGUGAACUAUGCGUGGAUAGGGUGAAGCCAGAGGAAACUCUGGUGGAGGCUCGCAGCGGUUCUGACGUGCAAAUCGAUCGUCAAAUCUGCGCAUGGGGGCGAAAGACUAAUCGAACCUUCUGGUAGCUGGUUCCUGCCGAAGUUUCCCUCAGGAUAGCAGUGUUGAAACGGCAGUUUUACGCGAUAGAGUAAAGAUUGGGGAACCGGGGGCGCUAUUUAGCCUUCAUCCACUCUCUAACUCCGAAUGCGUAAGAAACCCCUGUUACUUCGGUGAACGCGGGUCUUCGAAUGCACCAACACUAGUGGGCCAUGUCUGGUAAGCAGAACUGGCGAUGUGGGAUGAACCAAACGGGGACUUGCGGAGCCUAAAUGGACGCUCAUGAGACACCACAAAAGGCGUUAGCACAUCUUGACA
rnacentral:rRNA from 1 species